ACACUCUGGAAAAUCUCAUUUCGAUGAGUGCCGAAGGUGUAAGGCCGCAGGGCUGAAUCUCUCAGGCAAACAGACAGAGACA
rnacentral:ncRNA from 1 species